rnacentral:lncRNA from 1 species
AAUAGGUUUUGAAUUGUUACCCAUUUUGGGUACUCCUGACUUGGUUGAUGGAUGAUUCUCCACUGCUUGCGUGUAGGAAACCCGGUAUGCCUCGAGGGUAUUUUUGUCCUCUUUUGUCCAAAAGUCCACGUGUCGCCUAGUGAAUAUUUUUGGCUCCACAAAUGCCCCCACACCUGUUGGGCUGCUCGCAGAAAAUGGCAGCAGGUGUAGAGAUCUUCUUGCUUUAGGAAACUUAAGACUGCUUCCUAUUUUGAU